rnacentral:lncRNA from 1 species
ACACAGGACAUAACACACAACAACAAGAAACUACAAGCAACUCAAGCCUUGUAAAUCUCUCUUAGUGCAAUACAAGUUUCCCAUUUGACUCCGUUGCUUUCUUCUCUAGUUCGAGAAGCUCUAGGCUUACUUAGCAACCUUUGGCAAAAUUGUCUAAGUGUCACACGGGUAGCUGCGCAAAAUACUCAUCCCGUGAUAACAUGGUCACUAGUCUACAACAACUAAUGGAAGUAUUUGCCAAAAAAGGAAAAAAUGUAAAUCUUAUUGGAGUAUAUCUUUCUUAACUAACUUGACCACAAAAAGAGAUGGUGUAUAAAGAAGAAAUCUACUUAAUUUAAUCAUGAUAUUAAGUAAGAGACGCUGAUGAUUCACGAAAUUAAUUCUUUUAGUGAAAAGAAAUAGUUGCUAAUAUAGUUAUUGUCAAUAACUCUUUUGAAAAUAUUAUGAGAUCAAAUUAUAUAGCU